rnacentral:tRNA from 1 species
GGGGAUGUAGCUCAGUGGUAGAGCACUUGCUUGAGGCCCUGGGUUUGAUCCCCAGUAUCACAA